rnacentral:rRNA from 1 species
GAUCAUGGCUCAGGAUGAACGCUAGCGGCAGGCUUAACACAUGCAAGUCGAGGGGCAGCGAGGUCAAAGCUUGCUUUGAUUGUCGGCGACCGGCGCACGGGUGCGUAACGCGUAUGCAACCUACCCACUACAGGGGGAUAACACUGAGAAAUCGGUACUAAUACCCAUAAUAUCUUGUAAAGGACGAUCUUUCGUAGGUUGGUAAAACUACCCGGUCGGGUAGUGGAGUGGGCGAUGCGUUGUAUUAG